rnacentral:lncRNA from 1 species
UAUGAUAUUGUUCGCUAGACUCAUUAGUUCCCUCAAGAAAAUUUCUCAAUCAUUUUUUUGUCUAUGUUAAAUAUACAAUUAUGUGUUCAUGGUCCCUACUGAACAGAUUAUUUGUUCAUCAAUUACAUAAAAGAUUAAAAGAUAAAAAUAUAAAUCAACAAUGCAAAAACACAAAAAAGAAAGGAAAAUUUUGCUUAAGAAUUGGUAGGGGCUGCGCGAACGCAAGCCCCCGCUGCAACAAAUUAUGACAUAGGCUCGACUACUUGGGCCGACCUUAGGUAGGCACCCCUCCAAAGUGCAAUGGAGGUCACAAACCUAGGCCAUAGGUCUUAUUGAUCGCCCAUUGACCCCGUCCAGGUAAGUAUAUUUCUUGUUGCUCCUUCCUAUUCUUUUAUAUUCCUCUUUAUACUUGUUUUUCUUUGUGUCAAUCGAUGAGGGAUAUAUUGCACUUCAUCUCUUUUUUUAAAAAAAAAAUUUAAUAGCAAACAAGAUAGACAACAAACAAAUCUUUUACCAUAUUCAUGGGCGAAUUAAAAUAACAUUAAAAAGCCCUUGUGAAUUUUAGUAUUGAGUAAAUCAUAACUUUCGGGGUGGUUCAAGUUCGAAAUCUCUUGCCAACAAAAGCAAAAAAUAAGAUUAAAAAGUCCUUCUUAGUUGGGGUUAGCCUAGUGGUUUGGACUUAGUACUAUAAUGUUGGAGGUCACAAGUUCGAAAUCUCUUGCCAACGAAUCAAGCUCGUCGUACCUGACUUGCCUAGUGCGGAUUACCAUGCUGUAUGGUUUGCAAGUUAUUACAUAAAAGCGUAGUGUAAGUUAUUGCAUAAAAGACUAAUACGGAUUACCUCUCUUGUGUAGUUUAUGAGCUAUUGCAUAAAAGCGGACUGUCACUAUAAUUUUACUCAAAUAAAUUAAAUUAUAAGACAAGUAACAAAAAAAAUUUGAUAGUAGUAUUGUUGGGGUCCUCUAAAGAAGAGAAUCCCUCCAAAAAUUAGCGUAUGCCACUGAUUGCAGCGUGCACACGGUAUUCUUUAGUAAAAGGCGAAAGAAUAGUUCGCUUUGUGCUCACUGCGUGGCUGCGUGAGUUCUUAGGGCUAAUCUGUGGUGCAUUUUGUUACGGGACAAAGUUUGUAUUUACACUUUUUUUAUCAAUGUGGUACUCACCUCACUCACUCCUUUUCAAUAUUGCUCUAUGCUUAUUUUUAAGUAACUUUAUGAUUGAAAAUCUAACAUGUUUUUCAAAUAGAAACUACUUAAGUUGUCUUGUUUUAUACUUUUUCGAUCAUCUAAUUUAAGAUAUGAUGUCGAUUUGGUUUCUUUUUUAUUAUAAGGAGAUAUAUUUUUAGAAGAUGAUGGAUAAGGUGUCGCGAACUGAGCAUCUUGAAUAGUUGAACUCGAAUGCAGGUUGUGUUUUUCAAAAAGUGUAUAGUGAAGGACCUAUAGAUUAUAUACUGUGGCCUUAUAAUCUAUGUUGGUCGUACUCUUUUGUAUGCUAGUACAUGUUUGAGUAGCUAGACGUCAUGCAUCACGCAUGUGUCGAAGAUCUUAGAGCUUCCGUCUAGUUUGGAUCUUUUUUGACGUGCCCAUCCGAAGGAGCCAGCAUUAUAUCGAAAUGAAAUUGAUUUCGAUAUCACUCAUGAACGCCCUGACAACUAAAAGAAAGGAUUUCUCAAACUCCUUCACUUAGCAGAUUAUGUUAAGAUCAAGCGCUUAUCAUCAUGUCAAAAGCUAUACCUGAUAGGAAAGGCGCUACUUUAUUUCUUAACUAAGUCUAACAAGCAAACAUUAUAUUCGAUCAUGACUCAGACUCAUGCCACCCAACCUCUCGUGGGCCUUGCAUUAGGUAGGAUGUUGAAAUUACUCUACAAAUUAUAUGAAUGAAAAGUGAUAAUAAAGUUGUUCAUCCGUAAAACAUAGAACUUAAGAGAGAUAUGUAAUUUACGAAUUCUGUAUAUACAAAAGAAAAAAUUUGCUUAAGAAUUGAGUAGGGGCUGCACGAACGCAAACCCCCACUACAACAAAUUAUGACAUGGGCUCAACCAUUUGUAUCGACCUUAGAUAGACACUCCUCCAAAGUGCAAUGAAGGUCACAAACCUAGGUUGUGGGUCUUAUUGAUCACCCAUCGACCCUGUCCAGGUAAGUAUAUCUCUUGUUGUUCCUUCCUAUUAUUUUAUCCCAUCUUAAUAUUUGUUUUCCUUUGUGUCACCGAUGAGGGAUAUAUAGCCCUUCAUCUUUUUGUUAUCAAUUUUUUUUCAUUUAAUAGUAAACAAAUCUUUACUGGGAGAAAUUAAAAUUAUAAUUUCUUCUGAAUUCUAACACGAGGAAAAUAUUUUUCAUGAAAAACAUUUUUGAAUCAUUGGGGUGUCUGUCAAUGUGACGGAAGUAUCAGCAUGUUGUUAGGCUAAAAUAAUCUGAAGAUAUUGUUAACAUGUUGUGAUAUUGUUAGCUAUGGAUCAAAAGCCACACGAUUUCAAUGCUCUAUUCAUAGACUCGUUAGCUUCACAUCUCUAACAAAUUUGGCAAAGUUGGUUCACCUAACACAUAAAAGGUCAAAGUUUAAUAAUCAUCAUGUUAGAACUAAUACCAAUAAAGACUCGUAGCGUAGUGGUUAUUGAGUGCAAAAGUAUAGGAGGCAUGCAAGAUUGAAUGCUUGAGUACUUUUUAAAAUCGUAGAGAGUCGUUGAAUAUCUGAACUUUAAACGUGAAGUUCCCCACCAUAACUGUUGGGAUUUAAAGGUGUAGACAUGAACUGAAGGGUUGUGACUCUCAUGAAGGAUUGUGACUUUGCCAAAGAGUUGUAACCUUUAUGAAAGGUUGUGCAUUUUCCAAAAGGUUGUCUUUUUUUCAAAAACUUGUGACUUUUACCCUUUGUUGGCUAUAAAUAGAGAGGCUUUCUGUCAUUUUUCUACAUUGAAUUAUUCCCUUCUUUUGCAUACAUUUCUUACAAAAUAAAAUUGAUCGAUCGUGUCUAUGUGUGUGAUUUGUUGCUGUCAUUUUGAGUUCGUUGAAAUUAUCGAAGUUUGAGGUACCCUAAUUCUUUAAUAGUUAAUCCGUUUUAUCUCAGGAUGAAUAAAUUUGCAAUUUCAGGUAAUUGAGGGGAUUAAAUUUUUUAAGGACACAGUUGGUUCUGUGGACUCGGAUUAGUUCUUUGUUUUUUCUUUUCGUCUUUUAUUAUUUCUGAUUAGACUGGAGAUGGACAAUCUUACUAGUUCCCCACCUGCAUUCGCACAGUCCCCCUACCCAAGAGACGAACAAAAUCUGAAACAAGAAAAUUUUUGCUUAAGAAUUGGGUAGGGACACGCGAACGCAUGCCCCCCUGCAACAAAUUGUGACGUAGGCUCGACCACUUUGGCCGACCUUAGAUAAGCAACCCUUCAAAGUGCAAUGAAGGUCACAAAUCUAGGCCAUGGGUCUUAUUGAUCACCCAUUGACCACGUCUAGGUAUGUAUGUUUCUUAAUGUUCCUUCCUAUUUUUUUUAUAACCAUCUUAAUACUCGUUUUCCUUUGUGUCAACCGAUGAGGGAUAUAUUUGUUGGAAAAAAUACUACAAUGUUGAUAUUGGACUAAAAUUAUAAAGAAGUGAAUAACUUAACACAAAUACUGUGUCAUGACAAGCCACUGUCGUGAAAACAAUUUCGGCCCAACUCCAGUGUAAAUCGUUGUAGUCGGUCGCUCCCCAAGGUUCCACAGUUACUCUCAAACACGUGUAUUCAUGGUUGAAAGUUUGGAGUUGCACAAAAACAAUUGAUCGGGUAUCCACAAUAGGGAGAAUGAUUAUUUUAGCCAAUAAAGAAAUUGGUGAAGGAGAUAGUGAAUGAAAGAAAGGACAUUUGUUUAUUUCUUCUAUGUGUUUAGCUCCCAAAUGAUAUCCUUAAAUAGGAAAAUUAUUUACAUUUUCAUCCAUUAAAAGAAUGUAAGAAACUAACGUAUAAUCUACCAAAGUAACUUCAAGUCUUCUGAAUAUUUUCUUACGAAGUUAAGAAAACUGACACUUGAGAUAAAUAUGAACCACUAAUAUGGAAGUUACUCUCCUAUUUCACAUAUACUAACGACUUAGCAAUUAUGUCCAAAUAGAUUAAUUAGAGAAAACUUAAAAGAUGUAACUUAUCCAUAGGAAUAUUAUCCACAAUAUUGCCUUUCAUCUUCUUACUAUUUUUUUGUUUCAUUUAAGUAUCAAACAAAUCUUUAUCAUAAUACUCUGGGAAAAACAUUAAAAAUAGUAUUGUUGGGGUAACUCCUAAAUAAGAGAACCCCUCCAAAAAUUGGCGUAUGCCACUAUUUGCAACGCACACACGGUAUUCUUUAGUAAAAGGCGAAAGAAUAGUUCGCUUUGUGCUCGCUGCGUGGCUGCGUGAGUUCUUAGGGCUAAUCUGUGGUGCAAUUUUAUACUCAGACAAAGUAUGUGUUUACUCCUUGUUUAUCAAUGUGGUACUCAACUCACUCUUUCUCUUUGUUUGUUUUUUUCCUUCAACGUGUUCAAUCAAACAUUGCAAAUGGUGUUUUUCAACUGAUCGAUUCGAAAAAAAGAUAACAGUUGUGUUUGUUUAAAUUGCUUCUUCUAUGGUAUAAUCUAUGUUUUUUUAGACUCUCCAAAAAUGUUGAUACACUGAACUCGUCACCUUUUUUUCAUCGAGUUGCGUAUGGAAUGUUGUAUCUUUAAAGCAAAGGUUUUUAUAUCACUCCUUAAAUCAUUGGGCUAAAACAAUCCGAAAAUACUCUUAACAUGUUGUAAUAUUGUUCGUUAGAUUCAUUAGCUGGGAAAAUUUCUCCUCAUUGUUUUUGUCCAUGUUAAUUAAAAUCUUAUAUGUUACUGGUUUUCAUGAGCCAACAUGAACAAGAAAAAAUUGCUUAAGAAUUGGUAGGGGCUGCGCGAACGCAAGACCCCACUGCAACAAAUUAUGACGUAGGCUCGACCACUUGGAUCGACCUUAGGUAGGCACCCCUCCAAAGUGCAAUGGAGGUCACAAGCCUAGGCCAUGGGUCUUACUGAUCGCCCAUCGACCCCGUCCAGGUAAGUAUGUUUCUAGUUGCUCCUUCCUAUUCUUUUAUACCCAUCUUUAUACUUGUUUUUCUUGUCUCAACCGAUGAGGGAUAUAUUGUUACUUCAUCUCUUUUUUUCUCUUUUUUUUUUCCAUUUAAUUGCAAACAAGACAAAUUAAAAUAAACAUUAAAAAGCCCUUGUGAAUUUCAGUAUUGAGUAAAUUAUAACUUUUGGGAUGGUCCAAGUUCGAAAUCUCUUGCCAACAAAAGCAAGAGAUUUGUUUUCUGGAUCGAGCUCUCGUUGUACCUAACUUUCCCUACUGCGGAUUACCUCUCCUAUCUGUGGGGGUGUCAUUAGAAAAACACAAGUAUUGAGUAAAUCACAUGAUCCGAUUUUACUGACAAAGUCUAAGUGUCUAGUUCGUACUUAUCGGAUGUGUUCCUAGACAAAAAUAUUUUUCAUGAAAAAUAUUUUUCCAUCGUACCGACCACUCAUCUCAUACAACCGUCUCUUAAUCUUAAUGUCUUUGGUUAUGUGCUUGACUAAUUCUACUAUGUGGACCAAACCAAAGACAUACAAACUAAGUACCUUAGUAGAAGCAGAGCAUCAAUAUCCUAAAAGUAUGACAGAAUGUAUCUUAUACUAUUUACGAUAAUUCAAAAGUAUAUUGUAAUUUUUUCCUAAAGAAAAGUUAAACUUGUAUUGUUGGGGCUUUCAAUAAAGAAAACCCCUCCAAAAAUUGGCGUAUGCCACUAUUUGCAACACGCACACGGUAUUCUUUAGUAAAAGGCGAAAGAAUAGUUCGCUUUGUGCUCAUUGCGUGG